rnacentral:rRNA from 1 species
AUUGAACGCUGGCGGCAUGCUUUACACAUGCAAGUCGAACGGUAACAGGCCGCAAGGUGCUGACGAGUGGCGAACGGGUGAGUAAUGCAUCGGAACGUGCCCAGUCGUGGGGGAUAACGCAGCGAAAGCUGCGCUAAUACCGCAUACGAUCUAUGGAUGAAAGCGGGGGACCGUAAGGCCUCGCGCGAUUGGAGCGGCCGAUGUCAGAUUAGGUAGUUGGUGGGGUAAAGGCUCACCAAGCCAACGAUCUGUAGCUGGUCUGAGAGGACGACCAGCCAAACUGGGACUGAGACACGGCCCAGACUCCUACGGGAGGCAGCAGUGGGGAAUUUUGGACAAUGGGCGCAAGCCUGAUCCAGCAAUGCCGCGUGCAGGAAGAAGGCCUUCGGGUUGUAAACUGCUUUUGUACGGAACGAAACGGCCCUGGUUAAUACCUGGGGCUAAUGACGGUACCGUAAGAAUAAGCACCGGCUAACUACGUGCCAGCCGCCGCAGUAACAC